UACGAAGGGUGCAAACGUUGCUCGGAAUUAUUGGGCGUAAAGCGCACGUAGGCGGCUUAGCAAGUCGGAUGUGAAAUCCCUCGGCUCAACCAAGGAAGUGCAUCCGAAACUGCUGAGCUUGAGUACGAAAGAGGAUCGCGGAAUUCCCGGUGUAGAGGUGAAAUGCGUAGAUAUCUGGAGGAACACCGGUGGCGAAGGCGGCGUUCUGGACUGCAACUGACACUGAGGAACGAAAGCCAGGGGAGCAAACGGG
rnacentral:rRNA from 1 species